rnacentral:rRNA from 1 species
UACAGAGGUGGCAAGCGUUGUUCGGAAUUACUGGGCGUAAAGGGCGCGUAGGCGGCCUUCUAAGUCAGACGUGAAAUCCCCCGGCUUAACCUGGGAACUGCGUCUGAUACUGGGAGGCUUGAGUAUGGGAGAGGGAUGUAGAAUUCCAGGUGUAGCGGUGAAAUGCGUAGAUAUCUGGAGGAAUACUGGUGGCGAAGGCGGCAUCCUGGACCAUUACUGACGCUGAGGCGCGAAAGCUAGGGGAGCAAACGGG